GAAGUAGAAGGGAAAUUUAAUAACGAAAAACGAUUUUGAGCGUAGUUCGGUUAAUAUUGUUACUUUAUCAGCAAUAUAUAUUCCUACAUGUCACAUUAAAAUAAAAUAAAAACAUAAUAUGCAUUAUAUAUUUUCUUUAAAAAUUUUUGUUUAAUAUUGUAAAAUUAUUUUCCCGUUUUUCCCAUGUGUUUCCCAUUUAUUGAGAAAACUUCUGAGCAAAUUAAAAAAUGACCCCCACUCCCUAAAGUAGCAUAUAGAUAAAAUUUCCUUUCAAAAAAUAUCCUACACCUGAUACAUCGGAACAAGAUUUUUGAUAGAAAAGUUUACACAACAAAUCGAGGGGUAUUUUUCGAUUAAAAUAGUCCGAGCGAGCGAUGGAUUAGAUUUCUAAGUGCAUCCAAAAUUCAUUUAUUAAAUAACAGGGAAAAAAAAACUAAAAUUUAUUUUUGAAACUCGGAUUUAAACUUGCCAUCCAAAAGAAAACAAAAAGAUAAAAUUGGAUUCUGCGACCCAUUACUAACCUGGUUUAUCUCUUUUUUAACUAAUAGAAUCCAGCUUGUUAAACCAAAUCAGUUUGUUUCAGAACUCAUCUAUGUUCUCACAGUUUUUCCUCAAAGCGACCAUCUUUUACCUACAUUAUUUCUAUUAUUUUUAAAUGAUAUAAAUACGAUU